UACGGGGGGGGGCAAGCGUUGUUCGGAAUUACUGGGCGUAAAGAGCUCGUAGGCGGUGUGUCGCGUCGGCCGUGAAAACUGUGGCUUAACUAUGGGCUUGCGGUCGAUACGGGCAUCACUGGAGUUCGGCAGGGGAGACUGGAAUUCCUGGUGUAGCGGUGAAAUGCGCAGAUAUCAGGAGGAACACCGGUGGCGAAGGCGGAUCUCUGGGCCAUUACUGACGCUGAGGAGCGAAAGCGUGGGGAGCGAACAGG
rnacentral:rRNA from 1 species